UACGGAGGGUGCUAGCGUUGUUCGGAAUUACUGGGCGUAAAGCGCGUGUAGGCGGCCCGCUAAGUCUGAUGUGAAAGCCCGGGGCUCACCCCCGGAAGUGCAUUGGAGACUGGCGGGCUCGAGUCCCGGAGAGGAGGGUGGAAUUCCUGGUGUAGCGGUGAAAUGCGUAGAUAUCAGGAGGAACACCGGUGGCGAAGGCGGCCCUCUGGACGGUGACUGACGCUGAGACGCGAAAGCGUGGGGAGCAAACAGG
rnacentral:rRNA from 1 species